rnacentral:lncRNA from 1 species
GGCUCCUCCUCCUUCUCCUCCUCUCCAGCACCUGCUCCUCCCAGCUGUCACUGCUUCUGCUCGUCUAAUGCCUACUACACGCUAACACAUCGUCACCACUCCGUGAGGAGUCGAGGCUCUGAGGGUGAUGAAGGCGAUUUUUAAUCGUGAUCCGUUGAAAGCUACGAGUGGAAAGUAACAGAAACAUCACCAAGGAAAUCCUGAAUGGCACAUUAAAACCAACCUGAAUCAAAGGGUUCCUGGAACACGACAUUGCCACGUGCUUCACAGCCUCCGACAGGAACAGAAAUCCCUCCUGUCCGAUGCCCGGGGCUCCUUGGGAAACCGUCUGCAGGCCCCUGAGCUGUCCAUGCUAUGGACUUCCCUUGCGGCCUGGGGCAGGCCGGAACCUCGAAGCAAUGAUAGUAAUUGUCUUCACGGGGCAAACCAGGCUUCCUAACCAACGAAUUUCCUGUUCUCCAGUUUGUGUGGUGACCACUGGGACAGCCACGCAGCUCUCUGGGCCUCCGUUUGAUGAUUUGGUCUGAGGUUUGCUGCCAAAAAGGCCUGUCUGUCUCCCCAUGAGCGUUAGGCCCCGGGGCCGGGGAGGGGGAAGCAGCUCUGAGGGCAGCUCGCUGUCUACUUUUCUUCCCUGGACGUCGGGUUAAUUCCAUUCUACCACCCUGUGUCCGUAUGAGUUCCAAUUGAAAAAAAAAAAACAGAAACCCAAACUUUCUUGCCCUCUCUGCCCUCAAGAUAACGUGAUUAAAUGGGGCAGAACUGGCCACCAGCUACACCAACAAUAUCUUGCAAUUUUGCUCUUAGCUGAUUAGAGAACACAAUGUCUCUGCAGAGAAUGGACUCAUUUAUCACAUCUCCCCGGAAGGUUCGUGCUGGACUGGGCUGGUGAGCAAAGCUCACUGCAGAGGAAGGACCCGAGGAGGGAGAACCCAGCACGCCUCUGGAAGCACAGAUUCUGCCUUUCCACUCAGCAAUUAAUCUCCUUUGGCUCUGCUAAAUUACGGCAGAGGCAGCAUCACUCUAAAGUGCAAAUACGAGGUGGCCAGUGGGUCCUGGAGGGGAGCAGCGAGCAACCUUGCAGAUGACAGCUGAACACCACCAGCGCGGUGGUCGCAGGGCGCACGAGUACUUGAAGGACAGGGAGGGGACCCUG